ensembl:lncRNA
CUAAGGCUUAACUCUGAAAUGCUUAGUCAGACCAUCCAGCGGUUUCUGAUACCCACCUGACUCAGAGGCGGAGCUUAUCUUCAGACCACAGCCACCAGAAAAGAUGUCAGAAGUUUCCACAGUGCAGGGCACAAAGAGAGUCAUUGUGCAGGGCCAGCUGGCACCUCGUGGGACAUUGUCAACGUGACACGGCACAGAGCAAACCCCCGAGCCUUCCACUUCCAGCAGCUACAAGGCACUAUGCAUCGCCUCCUCUACACGCAAAGACGCUGAGAAUUGGAUCAUCUGCCUUCAUUAUUCUUAUGGGAGCACAGAAGGAUCUGAAAACUGUGGUCAAGCCAGACGCUAAGCCCACUCGGAUAAUACACCUUUUAUUGAAGAGAAAGCUCUGACGAUUUCAGAAGUGCCCCGACAAACCUUCCGCCGUAUGUAAGUGUGAAAUCCUGACACCAAAAAAAUCAGUGACUGAAUAAUCCUUCCCAUCAGCACCGGGAUCUGAAUCAUUUCAUCAUCUCAGAAAUGGCCCCAGCACCUUCAGCAGCCCACACAGGCACCACACGAGCUGAGGUCGGCAG